rnacentral:rRNA from 1 species
GGCCGCAGAGACCAGCGAGAAGCGACUGUUUACUAAAAACACAGGUCCGUGCGAAGCCGUAAGGCGAUGUAUACGGACUGACGCCUGCCCGGUGCUGGAACGUUAAGGGGAGCGGUUAGCUCCAUUUCGGUGGGGCGAAGCUGAGAACUUAAGCGCCAGUAAACGGCGGUGGUAACUAUAACCAUCCUAAGGUAGCGAAAUUCCUUGUCGGGUAAGUUCCGACCUGCACGAAUGGCGUAACGACUUCUCGACUGUCUCAACCAUAGGCCCGGUGAAAUUGCACUACGAGUAAAGAUGCUCGUUUCGCGCAGCAGGACGGAAAGACCCCGGGACCUUUACUAUAGCUUGAUAUUGGUGUUUGGUUCGGCUUGUGUAGGAUAGGUGGGAGACUGUGAAGCCGUGACGCCAGUCAUGGUGGAGUCGUUGUUGAAAUACCACUCUGGUCGUGCUGGAUGUCUAACCUGGGUCCGUGAUCCGGAUCAGGGACAGUGUCUGGUGGGUAGUUUAACUGGGGCGGUUGCCUCCUAAAGGGUAACGGAGGCGCCCAAAGGUUCCCUCAGCCUGGUUGGCAAUCAGGUGUUGAGUGUAAGUGCACAAGGGAGCUUGACUGUGAGACUGACGGGUCGAGCAGGUACGAAAGUAGGGACUAGUGAUCCGGCGGUGGCUUGUGGAAGCGCCGUCGCUCAACGGAUAAAAGGUACCCCGGGGAUAACAGGCUGAUCUUCCCCAAGAGUCCAUAUCGACGGGAUGGUUUGGCACCUCGAUGUCGGCUCGUCGCAUCCUGGGGCUGGAGUCGGUCCCAAGGGUUGGGCUGUUCGCCCAUUAAAGCGGUACGCGAGCUGGGUUUAGAACGUCGUGAGACAGUUCGGUCCCUAUCCGCUGUGCGCGUAGGAGUCUUGAGAAGGGCUGUCCCUAGUACGAGAGGACCGGGACGGACGAACCUCUGGUGUGCCAUUGUUCUGCCAAGGGCAUGGCUGGUUGGCUACGUUCGGAAAGGAUAACCGCUGAAAGCAUCUAAGCGGGAAGCCUGCUUCGAGAUGAGGGCUCCCUCCCACUUGAUGGGGUAAGGCUCCCAGUAGACGACUGGGUUGAUAGGCCAGAUAUGGAAG